UUUAAUGAUGUUGGUUUUUUUUUUACUUUAAUUAACUUUCAUUUGUUUUAAUUCUUAUAUAUACUUUUGUGACUUUUUAAAGGUUUUUGUUUUGAGUUUUAUAUUGAAUUUAGUUCACAUAGUUUAUGUUUACAUAAUUUAUGUUGUAAAACAUAAUUUCUCUUAGAAAAAAUAAACUAAGAAGAAUCUAAUUAAACCGAUCCAAAAAAUAAAACGAACCGAAUACAAAUCAAACCGAAUACAAACCAAACCAAAUAUAAACCGAACCGAGAAAAUAACCAAAGUGUCCAUCCCUAGUAAUACAUACAGUUGAUAAUUAAGACUUAACAAUUAAAAUAAAAAUAAGAAAGAAAUUAUUCAAAAAAUGUAGACACUCAUCAGUUUUGUUAGUUAUAAACAAUAUUUUUAUAUACGUAAAAUCUUCUUUCUAUACCGUUAAUGGUAAAUAUUCUUAAUAUUAACCAUAUUUUCAAACGUUUAUGAUUUUUUUGAAGAAAAUAAUGUUUUAAUCAACAUGUAUGGUCCUCUUCUUUCUUUUCUUCUUCUACCAUUUUUGAAGAUAAUUUCGUGAUUUUUAAAAUCAUAUAUUUGUUUGCUCUUACUCCAUAAAGUUUUGUAGUAUAUAUUUAAAUUAUUUUCACAAACCCAAAUGUUUAUCACAAAACAAUUCACCUUAGAUCAAAAAGUAAACUAUUCAGUAAUAAAAAAAUUAAAAUUAAAAUUUUAAUAUAAAAGUUUGAUAUAAAUUUCAAGUAUCCAUAUUAAAACAGUAUAGGAUUGGGUCAUAAUUAUUUCUAAUUCCAAACUUGUAGCACCCCUUAAAACAAAUAUAAUAAAUUUUCCAAAUUCCUGAAAUAUAUAAAAAAAAUUGGGAUUAUAAUUUUUAUUAAAAUAAAUUAGUUAAAGAAAAAUCAUAUUGCGGUGUUAUUGUUUAUUUGUAAAGUUUGACAUGUGACCGUCUGAAUAUUUGUUUUCACUUCAAAAAUUGUUUUUUGUACUAAAUGGUAGAAUACAUAUUUGUAAAUUAAAAUUUAUUAACUAAUUGAUAAUAUAAAAUUUUAAAUAUGAUAAUUUAUUUAUUACUUUGAAUCAUUAUAUUUUCUUUUAUUUUAUCGUUUAUUAUAUCACAAUGUAUCAUAAAUUAUUUUAUAUUUUAUUUAUAUAUAUUAUAUGAAUUGAUUAUAAUACAUGGUUUUUUACUUUAUUAUUUAUUACUAACAAAUAUCGAAAAAUAUUUAAUAUGUUAAUACAAAAAUAUAUUAAGAAAUUUAUGGAAAAAUUUAUGGAAAAAUCUAUUUUUAUUAAGAUUCGAUUAAAGAAAUCUAUAAUUUAAAUCAGGAAAGACAUUAGAUGAUUAUAUCUAUUCAUUUAAAUUAAGAAAAAACACAUAGUCAAUAUGAGUCUGUGAAUGUAUUGCUGUCAAAAAAAAAAAAUUAGGAAAAAACAAACAUACUUAAAUAUAAGUUUAAUAAAUAUUUCAAUGGCAUGCCAUUGUAAAUAUUAGGAAAAAGCUAGGGUUAAUUUUUAAUUGUACAUCAGUUUUAAUAGAUUAGAUAGAUAUUUCCUUAAUAUAUAUUGAUGUAGUAGUUAAAGCUGAUUGCUCCUAUUGAAAAAAAAAUCUACUAAUUUCUAAAUUAUCCUCUAAUGAUGGAUAUUUUAAUCAUUUGUUUUCUUCAGUAGAUUUUUUUAACAAUGUUAACAGAAAAUGUUGGAUUUUUUUUUUCAUUUCUUAUCGGUAUAUUAAUUAUGUUUAAAUUUCAUAAAUAUAUAUAUCUGAGUGUUUCCGGUUGAUAUGUAAAAAUAAAAUGUGUUAUGACGUCUAAUUUUUUUAAUUGAAAUAAUUAAAUUUUCAGACAUUCAACCGCAAAGUUUAAAACAAAGUUUAUUUGCAGUAUAAUCGGCUAAUCCGGCUUUGUUUAAAACAAAGUUUAUUUUUAUAAGUUUAUUUUUAUAAAAUAACAAGAUAUGGCCUGCUGCAUUGCAACGGAUUUUGUUUGAUGUUUUAAUUUAAUAAAAACAUGGUUGACCUAUUCCGGUUGCUCCUUUGUCUCUCUAACAUUCCCUCAGACUUCUCUCUACAUAAAGUAUGUGUUUUUUUUUUGUUUUUUUUAGGUGGUUAGUUUAGGCUGGUAUAUAGAUUAGAUAUGGAAUUUAGUUUAGGAAUGAAAUUAGAUCCAUAAUUUGUUUAGUAAUGAAAUUAGAUUAAAUAGAUUAUAAAUAUAAUUUUUAUAACGGAUAAUAUUUUUUUCAAAAUCACUAAUUUCAAUUUGUUUGUUUUUCUAAUAGAUGGCUGGUAGUAGGAAGAGACUUAGGAACAUGAGACCCACUUAUGCGGCUACGUUUCUCGGUAUGGGAGUUGAUCCGUCAGCUUCUUCCUCUGGUACUGCAUCGCACCAGAUUUUGUCCCUGAGAGCCAAUCUCAGGGAAAACCGCAGACGACUCAGCAGUCUAUGCCUCCUCCUCCUCUACCCCUGUACGUGUCUCCUGCACCGUAUGAGCCUCUACCUCAGCAGCCUCAGCCAUCUCCUCCUGAUGCUGCCUCAGCUCCUGAUGCUGCCCCAGCACCUUCUCCUGGGGGUAUCCAUCCGGAUUUGAUGGUGCCACCAGAUGCGCCGUAUGCUAGGUUUACUGUCGAGGACCUCCUCCAGCUACCUAGUUGAGAAGGUUUACGCAUCCUUGAACCCGAUAGACCGCCAAACACUUAUUGGUUUCUGAUGGAAAAUGUCGUGGGACAGAAGGUUUCGGACACCAUCAAAUCAUACUUCCAUGAAGCGCAUCUGAACUGGUCUUUUACACCGGAACACAUUCAAAGGGCUUGGUUCAUGUGAUUUGCGGUAAUUUUUAAUUAUUUAAAUUUUAUUUUAUCUAUUUUUUUUAAAUUUAUUUAUUUGUGUUUUUAAUGAAUUAUUUUUGGCAGCAAAAAUGGAAUUGGUCUCUUGGUGUGAACGAGGAAGUGAAGAAGGCGUUCAAUGCUAAGGCGAUGGCCCGCCUUAAAAACAUUGUUGCUGACUAAAAGGAGAAGUGGAUGGUUCUAGGGGAUGAUGCCAAACCCAUCUCUGCAAACUAAAAACACUCACGUGGGCAAUAGAUAGCAUACUAUGUCAUUCAACAUGUCAGACCUUUAGAACAUACUGCAAAUAUGUAAUUGCGAUGAUGGAGAACCACAUGCAUGGCCAAGCUUCUCUACAAAGCUGAAGCAGAUAGCGAAAUUACAAAGAAGAUUCCAAUUUUCAAACUUAUCUACAGUCUUCGGACUCAGAAUGUAACUGAUGAUUCUUUUCCUAGAAUUAUAAGAUCAUUUCAUAGGAAUCUUUUUCUAUUAAUAGUUCUGUUCCGGUUUGAUUUACCAGAUCGUUUGAACAAUAUAAUAACUUCUGAUAUUAAAAAAGCAUCCAUUUUUUUAAAAUUAAUUAAUUAAUUAAACCAUAAGAUAGUGGUUUAAGUGUUGUGAAUUUUGGGGAGAUAAGUUACCUGGUGUCGAAAGUAACCUAUUACAUUUAAUUUGUGGCACUUGGAUAUGAGAUUACGCUUUAUAUUCAUUUGAAAAUUAGAAGAGCCAUAAUGGAUUUCACGCACCUCCAAUUGAAGAUCAGUUUGACCUUUCUGAGAUACUUUCAAAUGAAUAAAAGAAAAAAUUAUAGUUCUAGUUAUAAAAUAUCUUUCUGUUGACCCAAAUUUUAAAAACAGUCAACGAACAUAAAAAGUAAUAAUAAUACUAGUAUACUACUGACAUGAGUAAAAAUAGUUGGGACCGAGAAAGGAUUCACGAGAAAUAUUCUUUAUCUGGAGAAAAAAUCAAACCACACGAGUUAGAAAAUUGAUUGUCGAAUAGUGUUAGGUGAAGAAAAAUCCAUAAACGCGGGCAGUCCGGAUUCUGGACCGGUUGAAAGAUCCAAACCCUCAAAUAGACUAGACACGGACCUUCCCAACUUAAGCAGACAUGCACUUGAGUCUAAUAAUUUUACAAAAUUUGUUCUGUGUAAGAAAUAAUUUUUUAAUAGGAAUAUGUAAUGUCAUAAAUAAUUUUUAUUCAAACAUUAGUGUAACCUUUGGAAUGCAUUCAAUAUAGAAUGUGUAGAUCGAAACACAAGGAACGGUGUAGAUGAAAAGGAACUCAAGAAGAAUGUUUAGUUCGGCUUUUCAAUAUGUUGUUCCCUCGUGUAAGGAGCACUGUCUAGCUAUGGAAACCGCUGGAAGGCAAUUUGUAGGCAAAAUAAGAGUCAGGUUUUACAGGCAAACACAACAUUUCUAAAUCUCUACUUCUUUUGUAUCCAUCACUAAUAAAAAAUGGAAAUGCCCUUUUAUUCGAACUGGUACCUUCAUGUUGAUUCAUAUACAAAGUAGAAUAAUCGACACUACAAAGCAUCGCAAAUCUUAGAUCUCGGACUUAAAGAGUUAAACAACUCUUUAGUAAAAAGGUGAAAGAAUAAGUCGCUCUGUGCACACCACAUGUCUGCUUGCAGUUAUUAUACAAAGUUGAUCAAAGCGGAAUUUGGCAGGCUGCUGAAUCCUUUACGAGAGGAAA